AGUAGAGAGUGGUGGAGAGAAAGAGAGAAGGUCAGAGAGGUCAGUAAAGUCCAGACCAUGCACAGCUUCAGGUCAGGUGAAGAAUGGGAAGCUAUUGGCAGAUUUUAAGCAGGGGAAUGUCAUGAUCUAAUGUUUUCAAAAGACCACUCUAGCAGGAGUGUGGUGGAGUGAGAGUGGGUGUGGGAAGAGCAGUUAUAUGACCAUUUAAGCGAUCUUAGCAGACAUGAUGGCAGCUCUGCAAUGAAGACCAGGAGAUGAACACGGGAUACAUUUUGGAGUUGUAGCUGAUCGGGCAUACUGAUGGAUUAGAGGGGGGUAGCAGUAAGCAAGUGGUUGAUGCUGUUAGCUGGGACUCAACUGGGGCUAUCUGCCAGAACUCACACAUGUGGUCUCCUCAUGUGGCAUGGACUCCCUCACAUCAUGGCAACCUAAGACUUCUUAUAUAGCAGCUCCAGGCUCCAAAGGGGUCUUUGAAGAGUUCACCCAGGAGCUUCAAAAUGAGGAACAGUGCUUGCAAUUUCCUUGAAUACUAAGAACAUCCAGCUAUUUGUAGACAGAUAAAAGAGAGCAGCCCCCAGAGGUGCUGAUCCAGCCAAGAUAGCUCAUCCAGUUCUCAACAGGACUAAAGGACUUAUCCUAUGCCUAGUUUUUCACUCCCCUCAGAGGGUCAGGUGAACUGGGGAGCAAGAGGAACUGGCGCCUUUCCCUACUUCUCUUUCAAUUCGUUUAUUGAGGUAACUGCACUGGGGAAAAGAUUAUAUCCAAAACUUUUGGAUUGCUCGACAUUAGAUGUUAACUCUGAGCUAAUACUAAUUUCCAGGGACCCAGAAUGAACUUAUCAAUGGAUAUCAGAUUGAAUAGAGAAUGCCACCAUGUGAAGUGAUAUUUGAGCUGGAACCUGAGUGAAUGAUGGAAUGGAGAAGUCAGGUACAGAGCUGUGGGGAUAGCAUCACAGGUAGGUGGGAUAGGACAGGCAAACCUCCGGAGGUGGGAGCAGAAUUGGUGCAUUGGCUGUGGUACCUUUCCAUGAUUUCCUCAUUCCAGUGUUCAUAUCUUUAGAAGAUCUCAACCCAUUGAUUGUAGGUGAUAUCUGUGAUUUACUCUAGCCAAUCUAUAUAACAUGACAAAAAUGAUGGAUGUCACUCCUGUAAUUAUUUUAUGUGAUGAUCCA
rnacentral:lncRNA from 1 species